CGUGUAGGCGGCGAUCUAAGUCGGGUGUGAAAUCCCUCGGCCCAACCGGGGAAUGGCAUUCGAUACUGGAUUGCUUGAGUGCGGUAGGGGCAAGUGGAACUCCAGGUGUAGCGGUGAAGUGCGUAGAUAUCUGGAGGAACGCCGGUGGCGAAAGCGACUUGCUGGACCGCAACUGACGCUGAGGCGCGAAAGCUAGGGGAGCAAACG
rnacentral:rRNA from 1 species